GACGAACGCUGGCGGCGUGCUUAACACAUGCAAGUCGAGCGGAAAGGCGCGGCGCUUGUGGGGUGCUCGAUAGGCGAACGGGUGAGUGAAACGCGAGUAACAUGCCCUUGACUUUGGGGUAACUUCACGGAACUGGGGCGCUUACCGGGUAGGAUCUCCUGCUGCGUGGGGGGGAUUGGUGAGUGUCGGCGGUUGGGGCUGUACUAGCGGCUUAACCGCUUCUUGGUGUGGUAGGUGCUGUCCAAGCGUAUGACGGGUAGCCGGCCUGAGCGGGUGACCAGGCACAAUGGGACUGAGGUACGGCCCAGACUGCUACGGGAGGCAGCAGUGGGGAAUAUUGCACAAUGGGCGGAAGCCUGAUGCAGCAACGCCGCGUGCGGGAUGACGGCCUACGGGGUGUAAACCGCUUUCGACUGUAAUGAAGCGUGCGUGACGGUAAUGGGUAAAGAAGCACCGGCUAACUACGUG
rnacentral:rRNA from 1 species